rnacentral:lncRNA from 1 species
AUGACUAAGACAGGAAAGCCAGACAGCUACUGGAGGGACCUCUGUAUAAAAUAUGCCCAGGGCCUUUACCGCUUCUCGACUGGCAAACGGCCAGGGGCCAAGAAAUGGAAAAAGGCCUUGGAGAACAUCGAUGCUUGCCCCCUGCAGAGCCAUAGUGGUAGUAAGGAUCUGUUCGGGAGAAGCCUUCAGUGCUCCUGUGGCUUCCACAAGCCAGCAGAUCUGUCAUCAGGAGCUGGGUCCAGUGAGGCAGGAGUAGUUGAGACGGAGGCAGGGCGAGUCCGAGUCGGCUCAGAGGCAGGAAGAGGAGACACGGAUGCAGGGGGAGCCCGGUCCCACACAGAGGCAGAGGCAGGGAGAGGAGACAAGGAGGCAGGGAGAAGAGACACAGAGACAAGGAGAGGAGUCACGGAUGCAGGGGGAGCCCAGUCCCACACAGAGGCAGAGGCAGGGAGAGGAGACAAGGAGGCAGGGAGAAGAGACACAGAGACAAGGAGAGGAGUCACGGAUGCAGGGGGAGCCCGGUCCCACAAAGAGGCAGAGGCAGAGAGAGGAGACAAGGAGGCAGGGCCAUCAGUGGCAGGACAGGAAUUGCAGUGCUACGGGUGCAACCAGCUUGUGGAGGCAGCACAUUUUUCAGAGCACCUGUCUGACCACCAUACUGAGGAGACGUGUGACACCUGUGGGGCCAAGGUGGAGGGUACUGUUGGUCUUUUGAACCAUAUUCAACAGGUUCACUAUGCAGGAUUCGUUAUGCCAUCGAUGCAAAAGCCAACAGUCCUAACAUCGAAGCCAACGCCAUCACCACCGAAGCCCACACUACUACCACCGAGGCCAACUCCAUCUCUGCUCCCUCCUUCAAAUAGCUGUGCCGCGCCAUACCACACUGCAACUCCACCUAAACCAACUCCAGUAGUUUGGAAAGGUUUUCUUCCCGAUCAGUUUCGGAAAGUCAUCCAACCGGCAGAUCAGGUGUGGAUUGCCAAGUGUCUAUAUGAGCCUACAGGUCAGCUCAAGCAGAAAUUUGAAGCCUGCUGGUUUCACCCCCCACUGGAGCCCAAACCCUCUCGUCCUGAGCCUGGGUGGUACCACCGGCAGAGGCUGUUCAUCUGGGCACCCAUGAGGAUGUGGGGGAUUUCCUUAAAAUGCCCAAAAUGUUCCGGGAAAAUGAACAGCUCCGGCAUAUACAGAAAGGUCAGGGAGGUGAUCGAUGUGGAUAGCCGCUAUUACCUAGUGGGAGGGGACUAUCCACGUUGCAGCAAGUGUUUGAACCCUUCCCUCUUAGUCUGCCCAUGGAGCCAGGAUAUUCUGUCCCAGUUGGAUGUGGCACACAGGAGCCUGUUCCCCGCUGUCCUCACCACCCAGCUGGCUCUUGACAGGAAAGCAGUGACUUUCCUCAAGCCAAGGACCAGUGGAAACAGUUCCUCCUACGUCCAGUCUGCGAUGGAAGAAGCGCACAGUGAGGAGUGGGCACGGCAGACCAUCCGCUACCUCUCGGACUGUGAGCGGCACAAGAAGAUGGCUACCUUCAUCCCCUCUGCAGCUGUCUAUCUUCCUCCACCAACCUUCAGGCCCCUUCCACUUGCUCAAUGGUUUGAGACGGUCCACUCCAACGACAUUCUCAGCCAUCUGGAUGAGAUGAAGGGAGUGAUCACUUCAACCUAUGGUAGAAUUCUGAAAAUGGAUUCAACAAAGAAGGUUAGCUUAAAAACUAUAUAAAAUAUAACAUGUAUAAUUACAAAACAGGAAAUUGGAAGGAAGAAGGAAAAGAAGGAAACUUCUUAGUGCUUGUGUUUGUUUUACAGAUCACCAAGAAGCUGGCUGGCGGGAUCGGGGACAGUGCGGCAUGGAUGUCCAAUAUCGGAAACGAGUUAGGCCAGGUCCUGAACUCUGUUCUGACGUCGGGUGAAGGUGCAGGGUUGGAAGAGUUGUGCCAAGGCGUCGUCACUCGGUACAAGAAUGCAGGCCAAGCUGAACCUGAGGCCAUCUAUGUCGACCGAGACUGCUGCAGCCAGUCAGGUGGGUGAAAAUCACACACACUCACACACACAAACGCAAUUGGGAAUUUGCUUAAUCAUGGUGUAACCACACACAGGGUUAGGUUGGUCUAUGUAAUUAUGCUGUUUUUUACAGGCGUGUCUUCAGUGGCUAAGCUGUUUCACCCAUGGCAAACUACAGUGCGCUUGGACAGCUUCCACUUCAUGAGGCGCUUUAACUGCGGCCUCACAACAGAACACCACCCUCUGUAUGGUAUUUUCUGUGCCAAGCUUUCCUCCUGCAUUUUUGCAUGGGACCAGGAGGAUGUGCAACGCCUGAAGGAGGCCAAGAGAGAAGAGUGGAGGAGCAGCCACAGCGGGCAUACUCCCACUGAGGAGCAGCUCAUGGCCACCAUCAGUCCAGGCGAACUGAAGAGGCACUGCAGGAGGAGGACCCGUGGAGUGGAGGAGACGCGGGGCAUGAUCUCAGGGCUGCUGGAAUCAGUGUGGGAGCUGACGGACACCACAGGGCUGCGUCUGGUGAGCCAUGACAGCAUGCGCCAUGUCUGGGAAGUGCAGCAGAAGCACCUGGAGUGCCUCCAAGACCCUGCAGGUGUGGCACUGUACACGAAGGUGGGGACACUCCAGAAGGGCGGCAAAGAGCUGGACGUCCUAAGGUGUGGUAGGGGGUCCUCCUCCCUGGAGAGUUUUCACAAACACCAGUGCGCUUUUAUUCCAGGUACAUUUCUUUUUUUAAUGUUCUUUUCUGUUAGGACAGAGAAUGUCCACUGUCGGGUAUUCAUGUGUAUUCACUUUACAAUAAUGGUUGACUAAACAUAGUAUUUAUUGUUCCUUAGGCUGGCGGUGCAAUGCUGUUCACACACAGAUGUACAUGCUGGAGGGAGUAUCGAGGUGGAACAUGGGCCGGGCCAAGGAGGCAGUAGAUGUGGAGGGGGCCUCAACCCUCAGAAGCUUUGAUGUCCGCUUGAUGUCCCACCUCAGCAACUUAAGCCAGCGCGUUCUUGGUUCCACUCUGGUGCCAGAGUUCACUCCACCCGGGAAACCUACUAGUAAGAGAGAUCUCAGAGCAACACUGAUUGACCAGAGUAUUACAUCCCCUCCUCCUCUUUUUCUUAGGCACCCCUAUUCAGAGGACAUGCAUUUCUGUUGCGCGAAGAUUGUGCUAUUCAUGUAAGAGAUGGAUGUGUGUAUGUAUGUCCUUUCUUCAUCUUUGUGUUUUUACUGGUUACAGGCGAGCGCAUAGCAGUGGAGUAUUUAUUGGCCCAGACCAACAGAGGUGACCUGCUGGCUCCAAAUCAGGUCCCUGAGGUCCCCUCGCAGGUACUUGAGGAGGAGGAUGAGCCGGAUGACACCAUCAGCAUGACUGACAUUCUGUGCCAGUCAGCUGCGAUAGGGGCUGGUGAUCCUCCAGGUGCUGUGGUGGGUGACGCUGAACCCGGACCCCUCGUCACACAGGUCAAUAACACUUUCUAUAACACCUUACUCAAAAACACAAAAUUUGACCGAAGUAAAUGUGGUUACAGGUCUUCAAAAUCCCCUUGCAGGUGCAGGUGCUUGAGGCGGAGGAGGAGGCAGAUGACACCAUCAGCAUGACUGAUCACACAGGUGAUCCUCCAGGUGCUGUGGAGGAUGACGAUGAACCCGGACCCCUCGUCACAGAGGUCAAUAACACUUUCUGUAACGCCUUACUCAAAAACACAAUAUUUAACUGACGUAAAUGUGGUUACAUUUUAAUAAGAUAAAUGAAUGUAAAAUCAGCAUUGCUCACAUAUUAGAAACAAGAGUGUACAUUUAUUUGCUUGGUUUUUCUUUUUCUCACUUAUCAAUUUUCAGACCAGCCAAUGUGACUCAAGGGGCGUUGUGGGAUGGGAUGCGGUUGCUAACCUGGCAGGCUACCUAGUUGGCUUGAAUCGCACCAUCACUGCCUUGUCAAUGAAGGAGGAAGAGGACAUAGUCCAGCUAUAUACAGCUCUCCAUGACAUGGACAAGAAGCAUUCAAGGUACAAAAUAGUAAUUAUUUUGUACACCAGAAUUAAACAUACAUUCCAUGGAAUGAAUGAAGAAUAUGGAUGUCUCUUUCACCGUUUAGCUACACCCAGAAGGCUAGGAAAAAAGGACAGGCAUCAGGAGGACCAUGGAGAGCACCGAGGAGGCCGAGUGGCUCUGCUCCGGGACAGCAGGCGGCAGAGAGGUGCUUGACCACAAUUUGCUAUCAUUUUGGUUCAAUACAAAUCAUUGAUUAAGAGACAGCACAUGUCACUGUGAAAAGUAUUUAUUAAGUGUUAACUUAAUAAAUAAAGUUAAAUACUUUAUUGCAAUCCCUAUUGACAUUGUUACUUGGUUGUUCACGACUUUACAUCCUUGUUCACAGUCCAGAUCAUAUCAUACUUCUUUCCCACAGACUAUACAUGACUCACGGCCAAGCAGCCCAGGAUCCCGAACACCACAGGGUCAGUGAGUGUGUCUGCCUCAGACUGGCCAAGGAGUUCGAGCAGUCCCGCAACAGGCCGAAGGACACGAGGGGGAAAACCCUGCCCAUCCCUCAGUCAAUUGUGAGCGUCUACAGCCACAUUAGACAGCUGCUGGAGGACAGCAGGGUUAUCGUGGUCCAGACGGCGCUGGCUCUGGUGCCGGUGAACAACACCACGGUCUCUGCAUGGUAUGUGUUGUUUCAUUUACCUUCCCCAUACAGCCAAGACAGUAUGUAAAUAUUUAACCUCAAGAAAAACCUUCACCUGCAUGCUUGUUAGAAAACAUGUAAUACACAGUAUGUAAUAACCUUUGGGAGGGAGGAUAGGCUUACACAUAUAAAAUAAUGAAUGUUUGUCUUGUAGGCUGCUUAGGAGGGACAAGAGGAAGGACAGGAACAUGCUGCUGCAGGGCAAUGUUCUCCCUCAACAGCUAUACCUGGCCAAGGAGCCUCUCCCUUCAUCAAACACUCUCCCGGCUGCCCCUGUGCAACAUGCACAUGAGAUGACAUUUGACGAGCCCGAAAACCGUGAGGGGGAAGCUUUCCCCCGCCAGCGCACUCUAACGGCAAACAAGCCUAAUGUCAUCUCUCCGCCACCUCCACCUCCUCAGUUCCAUCCACAAUUUGGGCCAGCUCCUCCUUUUUCAUAUGCUCCCCCAUUUCCCCACUUUCCAUUUCCCCAUGCUCCUCCUUAUCCGUAUGCUCCCCCCUAUCCGCACAUUCCAUUCACCCAUGCCCCUCCUAUGCCGCAUGCUCCCCCAUUUCCAUCUGCACAUGAUCCUCCUUUACCUCAGGCUCCUCCAUGUCAAGCUCCUCCAGAGUGCCUUCCAGGUGCCCAGCCAAGGCAACGUACCUGGAGGCUGAACAAAGCUGCCCAUGAGGAUGAGGAUCUAAUGGCAAGGGGGGAACCGCCACGGAAGAGGCUGACGAAGGAGAAGUACCACUACACCUGCAAGAAGUGUGGCCAGGACAAAAACAAAAAAACCGGACACACCCAGCUGAAGGGGCGGUGGUACUGUCCAGAGUCAGGACAGACCCUGGAUGACUGGAGGAAGAGUGUAGGCCUUUAGUCACCAUUACUUGUCUCUCUCUCUGUUGUUUGUCGGUCUGUCUCUGUGUUGUUCGUGUCUGUCUCCCUGUGUGAUCCCGACCAAGGCCUCGUAAGCCAGGCCGGUAAGUAUUCUUUUUUUUGGAUACGCCCACACCUGGUCCACUAGUUGGGUGUUAACCUGGUGUGUGUGUGUGUGUGUGUGUGUGUGUGUGUGUGUGUGUGUGUGUGUGUGUGUGUGUGUGUGUGUGUGUGUGUGUGUGUGUGUGUGUAUUCUGUGUAUUCUGUGUAUUCUGUUACAAUAAAGUUCAAUCAUUUUAUUUGAGCCUUCGCGUUUUUAUUUAAUUUCCUCUUGAAUAACAGGACAGUGACAGUGUCAUCCAUUGAAUGUGAUUGUGAAAACCAAAGCCAGAAUCAUUUACAUUUACAUUGAUUCACAAAACCCAACAUCUUUACUGCUCAAUUUGAAAU